GACGAACCGUCCAAACGUUAUUCGGAAUCACUGGGCUUACAGAGUUCGUAGGCGGUCUGGAAAGUUGGGUGUGAAAUCCCUCGGCUCAACCGAGGAACUGCGCUUGAAACUACCAGACUCGAGGGAGAUAGAGGAAAGCGGAACUGAUGGUGGAGCGGUGAAAUGCGUAGAGAUCGGGAGGAACAUCAGUGGCGAAGGCGACCAUCUGGGACAACACUGACGCUGAGGCACGAAAGCGUGGGGAGCAAACAGG
rnacentral:rRNA from 1 species